rnacentral:snRNA from 1 species
GCUCUCUUUGGCGGCAUACACUGAAAUUAGAACAAUGCAAAGAAGAUCAGCAUGGCCCUGCACAAGGGAAACAGGCAAAUUCGCGAAGCACUGCAUAUUGUU